rnacentral:rRNA from 1 species
UACGAGGGGGGCGAGCGUUGUUCGGAGUUACUGGGCGUAAAGGGCAUGCAGGCGGUCGGACGCGUUUCGGGUGACAGCGGGUGGCUUAACUACCCGAGUGGUCGAAAGACGGUUUGACUUGAGGACGCGAGAGGGACACGGAAUUCCGGGUGGAGUGGUGAAAUGCGUAGAGAUCCGGAGGAACACCGAAGGCGAAGGCAGUGUCCUGGCGCGUAACUGACGCUGAGGUGCGAAAGCCAGGGGAGCGAACAGG